rnacentral:rRNA from 1 species
CCUUGACAUACUAAGAACUUUCCAGAGAUGGAUUGGUGCCUUCGGGAACUUAGAUACAGGUGCUGCAUGGCUGUCGUCAGCUCGUGCCGUGAGAUGUUGGGUUAAGUCCCGCAACGAGCGCAACCCUUUUCCUUAUUUGCCAGCGGGUCAUGCCGGGAACUUUAAGGAUACUGCCAGUGACAAACUGGAGGAAGGCGGGGACGACGUCAAGUCAUCAUGGCCCUUACGGCCAGGGCUACACACGUGCUACAAUGGUCGGUACAAAGGGUUGCUACCUCGCGAGAGGAUGCUAAUCUCAAAAAGCCGAUCGUAGUCCGGAUCGCAGUCUGCAACUCGACUGCGUGAAGUCGGAAUCGCUAGUAAUCGCGGAUCAGAAUGCCGCGGUGAAUACGUUCCCGGGCCUUGUACACACCGCCCGUCACGCCAUGGGAGUUUGUUGCACCAGAAGUAGGUAGUCUAACCGCAAGGAGGACGCUUACCACGGUGUGGCCGAUGACUGGGGUGAAGUCGUAACAAGGUAAGCGUAGAUGA